AUUGAACGCUGGCGGCAGGCUUAACACAUGCAAGUCGAGCGGGGUGAUGGUGCUUGCACUAUCACUUAGCGGCGGACGGGCGAGUAAUGCUUAGGAAUCUGCCUAUUAGUGGGGGACAACAUCUCGAAAGGGAUGCUAAUACCGCAUACGUCCUACGGGAGAAAGCAGGGGAUCACUUGUGACCUUGCGCUAAUAGAUGAGCCUAAGUCGGAUUAGCUAGUUGGUGGGGUAAAGGCCUACCAAGGCGACGAUCUGUAGCGGGUCUGAGAGGAUGAUCCGCCACACUGGGACUGAGACACGGCCCAGACUCCUACGGGAGGCAGCAGUGGGGAAUAUUGGACGAUGGGGGGAACCCUGAUCCAGCCAUGCCGCGUGUGUGAAGAAGGCCUUAUGGUUGUAAAGCACUUUAAGCGAGGAGGAGGCUCUUUUGGUUAAUACCCAAGAUGAGUGGACGUUACUCGCAGAAUAAGCACCGGCUAACUCUGUGCCAGCCGCCGCAGUAA
rnacentral:rRNA from 1 species